rfam:Beta vulgaris subsp. vulgaris Bvchr2.sca014.con0084.1, whole genome shotgun sequence.
AACUUAUGGUGAGGGCAUGAAUGGAUCAUCUCCUUGAACCGCUCCCAUGCUUCCACAAGUGUCCCAUACAUCACUCUCUUGCUCAAAUGAGGAGAUUUUCCUCCUUAUGUC